GCUUGUUGGUAGGGUAACGGCCUACCAAGGCUACGAUCAGUAGGGGUUGUGAGAGGAUUAACCCCCACACUGGUACUGAGACACGGACCAGACUCCUACGGCAGGCAGCAGUGAGGAAUAUUGGUCAAUGGGCGGAAGCCUGAACCAGCCAUCCCGCGUGAAGGAAGACAGCCUUACGGGUUGUAAACUUCUUUUCUGUCAGAAGAAUAAGCUUGUCGAGACGAGUGAUGCCGGUAUGACAGGAAUAAGCAUCGGCUAACUCCGUGCCAGCAGCCGCGGUAAUACGGAGGAUGCAAGCGUUUUCCGGAUUUAUUGGGUUUAAAGGGUGCGCAGGUUGUUUGAUAAGUCAGUGGUGAAAGUCUGUCGCUUAACGGUAGGAUUGCCAUUGAUACUGUUGGACUUGAAUAUGGAUGAGGUAGGCGGAAUGUGUAGUGUAGCGGUGAAAUGCAUAGAUAUUACACAGAACACCGAUUGCGAAGGCAGCUUACUAAUCCAUCAUUGACGCUGAGGCACGAAAGCGUGGGGAUCAAACAGGAUUAGAUACCCUGGUAGUCCACGCCGUAAACGAUGAUCACUCGCUGUUUGCGAUAUACAGUAAGCGGCUAA
rnacentral:rRNA from 1 species